rnacentral:rRNA from 1 species
AGUGAACGCUGGCGGUAGGCCUAACACAUGCAAGACGAACGGCAGCACAGUAAGAGCUUGCUCUUACGGGUGGCGAGUGGCGGACGGGUGAGGAAUACAUCGGAAUCUACUUUUUCGUGGGGGAUAACGUAGGGAAACUUACGCUAAUACCGCAUACGACCUACGGGUGAAAGCAGGGGAUCUUCGGACCUUGCGCGAUUGAAUGAGCCGAUGUCGGAUUAGCUAGUUGGCGGGGUAAAGGCCCACCAAGGCGACGAUCCGUAGCUGGUCUGAGAGGAUGAUCAGCCACACUGGAACUGAGACACGGUCCAGACUCCUACGGGAGGCAGCAGUGGGGAAUAUUGGACAAUGGGCGCGAGCCUGAUCCAGCCAUACCGCGUGGGUGAAGAAGGCCUUCGGGUUGUAAAGCCCUUUUGUUGGGAAAGAAAAGCAGCAGGUUAAUACCCCGCUGUUCUGACGGUACCCAAAGAAUAAGCACCGGCUAACUUCGUG